rnacentral:rRNA from 1 species
AGCGGUAACAUUUCAAAAGCUUGCUUUUGAAGAUGACGAGCGGCGGACGGGUGAGUAAUGCCUGGGAAUUUGCCCAUUUGUGGGGGAUAACAGUUGGAAACGACUGCUAAUACCGCAUACGCCCUACGGGGGAAAGCAGGGGACCUUCGGGCCUUGCGCUGAUGGAUAAGCCCAGGUGGGAUUAGCUAGUAGGUGAGGUAAAGGCUCACCUAGGCGACGAUCCCUAGCUGGUCUGAGAGGAUGAUCAGCCACACUGGGACUGAGACACGGCCCAGACUCCUACGGGAGGCAGCAGUGGGGAAUAUUGCACAAUGGGGGAAACCCUGAUGCACCCAUGCCGCGUGUGUGAAGAAAGCCUUCGGGUUGUAAAGCACUUUCACCGAGGAGGAAAGGGUGUAAGUUAAUACCUUACAUCUGUGACAUUUCUCCCA